GAGUUUGAUCUUGGCUCAAAAUGAACGUUGGCGGCGUGGAUUAGGCAUGCAAGUCCAGCGUGAUUCUUCAUCAAUGGAGAUGAAAGCGGCGAAAGGGAUAGUAACACGUAGAUCACGUGCCCUCGGGUCAGGGAUAGCGUCGGGAAACUGACGGUAAUACCAGAUAAUGUCUCCGGACCAAAGAUUUAUUGCCCGAGGAGCGGUCUGCGUCCUAUUAGCUAGUUGGUGGGGUAAUGGCCCACCAAGGCGAAGAUGGGUAGCGGGUGUGAGAGCACGACCCGCAUCACUGGGACUGAGAUACUGCCCAGACACCUACGGGUGGCUGCAGUCGAGAAUCUUCCGCAAUGGACGAAAGUCUGACGGAGCGACGCCGCGUGCGGGAUGAAGGCCUUCGGGUUGUAAACCGCUGUCGUAGGGGAGCAAAUUUUGAGCGAUCCUAGGAGGAAGCACCGGCUAAACUCGUGCCAGCAGCCGCGGUAAUACGAGUGGUGCAAACGUUAUUCGGAAUCACUGGGCUUAAAGGGUGCGUAGGCGG
rnacentral:rRNA from 1 species